AAACUAUUCAAUUUUGGUUGAUUGCCUUGCCCUUCAACAUAAUUUCUGCUAUUAUAUUCCAAAUUUUCAUGUAGUCUAAAGCCAAGGAAGCAACAUAAUGCAGUUCGGGGAACAAAAAGAGUAGCUAGUUGGCUACAGUAUCACAAUUCAUAAGCAUUAGUGCUAUGCUACACUGCUGUAAUGCUGCUUUAUCAUUUAAGAUUACUGCCAUGGUACUUUAUACAAUAAAUCCUCUUAGCAUACCUG
rnacentral:misc_RNA from 1 species